GAGCGACAAAGAAAGUUGUCAGCUACAUUCACACUCAUAAACAAAGCUGCUUAUGGAAUGUAUACAAAGGUGGGGGCUAUAGAAAGGUCAUACGUAUAUGUUUUGAAUUCGUUCUUUCUUCUAUCAGCUCUGAGUUGUGCGUCCUAAUUUUUUUCCGAUAUAAUUAUAUACAUUCAAAAAAAUUAUGGCAGGAACUCACUUAUUGGUUCGAGCCCGUAGGGAUAAUAAAAAUGAUAAGAAUUCGUUCGAAAACAUUUCGGUUCGUGGGCUUGACGUUCACCUCUGGAAGAAGUAUAAAAAAGAAUUUAAUUUUUCCGGAGACGCAAAGUACUAUAAAGCGACGGACAAAAACGCUUUGGUGGGUGCAUGCGAAUAUCCUGAAUCAAUAGUGAACGUGUUAAACUUUUUUUCAAAAAAUGAGUACCACGUCGUUUCAUCAUUGGGGGUAUACGAAGAUGCCGUUUGGACAUUGUAUAAGAAGAUAUGAUUAUUAUUUUUCACAUUCAACAUAAAACUUCAACGAGUACUUAAUCAAACUGUUGAAAUGUUAAAGUUAUUUUUCAUAUAAUAAAUAAAAAAAAUUAAUAAUAA